rnacentral:tRNA from 1 species
AAAUAGAAAGCGAAAUAUUGCAUUCAGUUUCGACCUGAAAUUUGGUUUAUUACCUCUAUUUU